CCUACGGGAGGCAGCAGUAGGGAUCUGCGCAUGGCGAAGCUGACGCAGCGACGCGCGUGAGGAUGAAUGCUCGGGUGUAAACUCUUUCAGCAGGACGAGCCCUUUGGGUGACGUACUGCAGAAGAAGCCCGGCCAACUACGUGCCAGCAGCCGCGGUAAUACGUAGGGGGCAAGCGUGUCCGGAUUUAUUGGGCGUAAAGAGCUCGUAGGCGGCUGGUCACGUCGGGUGUGAAAGCUCAGAGCUCAACUCUGAGAGGCCAUUCGAUACGGAUCAGCUAGAGGUAGGUAGGGGAAAGUGGAAUUCCUGGUGUAGCGGUGAAAUGCGCAGAUAUCAGGAGGAACACCGGUGGCGAAGGCGGCUUUCUGGGCCUUACCUGACGCUGAGGAGCGAAAGCUGGGGGAGCGAACAGGAUUAGAUACCCUGGUAGUCCCAGCCGUAAACGUUGAGUGCUAGGUGUGGGGAGGUCUUCAACCCUCUCUGUGCCGCAGCUAACGCAUUAAGCACUCCGCCCGGGGAGUACGGCCGCAAGGCUAAAACUCAAAGGAAUUGACGGGGACCCGCACAAGCGGCGGAGCAUGUGGCUUAAUUCGAUGCAACGCGGAGAACCUUACCUGGGCUUGACAUGCUGGUUAAACCCUGUGAAAGCAGGGCUCCGUAAGGGGCCAGCACAGGUGCUGCAUGGCUGUCGUCAGCUCGUGCCGUGAGGUGUUGGCUUAAGUGCCGCAACGAGCGCAACCCCUGUCCUUAGUUGCCAGCGGGUAAUGCCGGGGACUCUAAGGAGACUGCCGGGGACAACUCGGAGGAAGGUGGGGAUGACGUCAAGUCAGCAUGGCCCUUAUGUCCAGGGCUGCACACAUGCUACAUUGCGCGCCACAGAGGGCUGCGAUCCCGCGAGGGGGAGCGAAUCCCAAAAAAGCGCGCCUGGUUCGGAUUGCAGUCUGCAACUCGACUGCAUGAAGUCGGAGUCGCUAGUAAUCGCAGAUCAGCAACGCCGCGGUGAAUACGUUCCCGGG
rnacentral:rRNA from 1 species